GAUGAACGCUGGCGGCGUGCCUAAUACAUGCAAGUCGAGCGAACGGACGAGAAGCUUGCUUCUCUGAUGUUAGCGGCGGACGGGUGAGUAACACGUGGAUAACCUACCUAUAAGACUGGGAUAACUUCGGGAAACCGGAGCUAAUACCGGAUAAUAUUUUGAACCGCAUGGUUCAAAAGUGAAAGACGGUCUUGCUGUCACUUAUAGAUGGAUCCGCGCUGCAUUAGCUAGUUGGUAAGGUAACGGCUUACCAAGGCAACGAUGCAUAGCCGACCUGAGAGGGUGAUCGGCCACACUGGAACUGAGACACGGUCCAGACUCCUACGGGAGGCAGCAGUAGGGAAUCUUCCGCAAUGGGCGAAAGCCUGACGGAGCAACGCCGCGUGAGUGAUGAAGGUCUGCGGAUCGUAAAACUCUGUUAUUAGGGAAGAACAUAUGUGUAAGUAACUGCGCACAUCUUGACGGUACCUAAUCAGAAAGCCACGGCUAACUACGU
rnacentral:rRNA from 1 species